rnacentral:rRNA from 1 species
UCUACGGGAGGCAGCAGUGGGGAAUAUUGGACAAUGGGCGAAAGCCUGAUCCAGCCAUGCCGCGUGUGUGAAGAAGGCCUUCGGGUUGUAAAGCACUUUCAGUGGGGAAGAAAGCCUUGGGGCUAAUACCCUCGAGGAAGGACAUCACCCACAGAAGAAGCACCGGCUAACUCCGUGCCAGCAGCCGCGGUAAUACGGAGGGUGCGAGCGUUAAUCGGAAUUACUGGGCGGAAAGCGCGCGUAGGCGGUCUGAUAAGCCGGUUGUGAAAGCCCCGGGCUCAACCUGGGAACGGCAUCCGGAACUGUCAGGCUAGAGUGCAGGAGAGGAAGGUAGAAUUCCCGGUGUAGCGGUGAAAUGCGUAGAGAUCGGGAGGAAUACCAGUGGCGAAGGCGGCCUUCUGGACUGACACUGACGCUGAGGUGCGAAAGCGUGGGUAGCAAACAGGAUUAGAUACCCGGGUAGUC